rnacentral:rRNA from 1 species
AGAGUUUGAUCAUGGCUCAGAUUGAACGCUGGCGGCAGGCCUAACACAUGCAAGUCGAACGGUAACAGGAAGAAGCUUGCUUCUUUGCUGACGAGUGGCGGACGGGUGAGUAAUGUCUGGGAAACUGCCUGAUGGAGGGGGAUAACUACUGGAAACGGUAGCUAAUACCCCAUAGUAUCCGGUUUAUCCGGGAUUAAAGAUUUAUCGCUUCGGGAGGGGCCUGCGUCUGAUUAGCUUGUUGGUGGGGUAAAAGCUCACCAAGGCGACGAUCAGUGGCUGGUCCGAGAGGAUGACCAGCCACACUGGGACUGAGAUACGGCCCAGACUCCUACGGGAGGCAGCAGUGAGGAAUCUUCCACAAUGGACGAAAGUCUGAUGGAGCAAUACCGCGUGCAGGACGACGCUUUUCGGAGUGUAAACUGCUUUUGUCGUCGAAGAUUAUGACUGUAGACGAAGAAUAAGGACCGGCUAACUACGUG